UGGCGGCGUGCUUAACACAUGCAAGUCGAACGAAGCAUUUGCGACAGAUUUCUUCGGGAUGAAGUUGCUUAUGACUGAGUGGCGGACGGGUGAGUAACGCGUGGGUAACCUGCCUUGUACUGGGGGAUAGCAGCUGGAAACGGCUGGUAAUACCGCAUAAGCGCACAAUGUUGCAUGACAUGGUGUGAAAAACUCCGGUGGUAUAAGAUGGACCCGCGUCUGAUUAGCUAGUUGGUGAGAUAACAGCCCACCAAGGCGACGAUCAGUAGCCGACCUGAGAGGGUGACCGGCCACAUUGGGACUGAGACACGGCCCAGACUCCUACGGGAGGCAGCAGUGGGGAAUAUUGCACAAUGGAGGAAACUCUGAUGCAGCGACGCCGCGUGAGUGAAGAAGUAAUUCGUUAUGUAAAGCUCUAUCAGCAGGGAAGAUAGUGACGGUACCUGACUAAGAAGCUCCGGCUAAAUACGUGCCAGCAGCCGCGGUAAUACGUAUGGAGCAAGCGUUAUCCGGAUUUACUGGGUGUAAAGGGAGUGUAGGUGGCCAUGCAAGUCAGAAGUGAAAAUCCGGGGCUCAACCCCGGAACUGCUUUUGAAACUGUAAGGCUAGAGCGCAGGAGGGGUGAGUGGAAUUCCUAGUGUAGCGGUGAAAUGCGUAGAUAUUAGGAGGAACACCAGUGGCGAAGGCGGCUCACUGGACUGUAACUGACACUGAGGCUCGAAAGCGUGGGGAGCAAACAGGAUUAGAUACCCUGGUAGUCCACGCCGUAAACGAU
rnacentral:rRNA from 1 species